GAUGAAGAACGUAGCGAAAUGCGAUACUUGGUGUGAAUUGCAGAAUCCCGUGAACCAUCGAGUCUUUGAACGCAAGUUGCGCCCGAAGCCAUUAGGCCGAGGGCACGCCUGCCUGGGUGUCACACACCGUUACCCUCGCGCCAACGUCCAUCGUUGGCCGCGGCGCGGGGCGUGCGCUGACCUCCCGCGAGCGGGGUCUCGUGGUUGGUUGAAAAUCGAGUUCGCGGUCGAGGGUGCCGUGAUGAAAUGGUGGAUGGGCGACGCCCGAGGCCAAUCACGCGCGACUCUGUCCGGCUUGGACUCCUGGACCCCUUCGGCGUCUCCGGACGCUCUUUGGCGAGACCUCAGGUCAGGCGGGGCUACCCGCUGAGUUUAAGCAUAUCAAUAAGCGGAGGA
rnacentral:misc_RNA from 1 species